rnacentral:rRNA from 1 species
CGGACGGGUGAGUAACGCGUAGGAACCUGUCGUUGAGUGGGGGAGUAACGCUGGGAAACCGGCGCUAAUACCGCAUGUGGUCCUUUUGGGGAGGACCUGAAGGAAGAAAGCAGCAAUGCGCUCGAUGAGGGGCCUGCGUCCGAUUAGUUAGUUGGUGGGGUAAAGGCCUACCAAGGCGUCGAUCGGUAGCUGGUCUGAGAGGAUGGUCAGCCACACUGGGACUGAGACACGGCCCAG